rnacentral:lncRNA from 1 species
UCCCUGCGCUUCUUCUUCUUCCUCAAAUCAAAUCUUUUGUGCUUCUUCUUCUUCCAAUGAACCACCAGCGGAAUCUUCUUCCAAAUCUUUUGACUUUCCCUUCUUGCGGAAACGAAAUCUCCACCGGCGGCGGCGACAUUCCUCUCUAGCGCAGCGGCGGUGACGAGCUUCCUCUCCAGCGGCAGCAGCGACCCUGCCUAGGGUUUUUGCGGAACGGCGGCGGCGACUCGGCGGACUCCAGCGCAGCGGCGGCAACGAGCUUCCUCUCCAGCGGCAGCGACAGCAGCAGCAGCAACGAGCUUCUUCUUCUUCUUCCUCACAUCCAACCACCGGCGAACACUACUCCCUGCGGCCACUACUCCCUGCGACCACUACUCCCUGCGGCUUCGGCUUCCAGCGACGACUUCCGGCGAAGAGCGAAGGCGACAACGACGACAUUUAUCAUACAGCGAAGGCAACGAGGACUCCAGCGAAAAGCGAAGCAACGGCGAAAAAACCCUCUUUGGUGUGAAAAAAAAUGUCCGAGAGAGGUGCGGAAGCUGAGCACCCCACCAACGCCACUGGAAGUCCAUCAACAGCGACGGGAGAAGAGCAACAAGUGCAAGAUGAGGCUGCAAGUAUAAUGGAAGAAGUAAGUUGUCAUUUUUUUUAAAUUUCAGUUGGAAUUUGACUUUGGGGGCAAUGGUGGGGCAAUGUAUGUGAUUUUGCAGUUGCAUAUGGUUAAUUAUUGUUGAAUUGGGGGCAAUUGUGGGGCAAUGUAUAUGAUUAUGAAAUUGUGGUGGGGCACAGUUACACAGUUGAAUAAAUUAGGGCACAGGUGAAUAGUUAAUACACAGUUGAAUAAUUUAGGGCAAUGUAUGUGAUUUUGCAGUUGCAUAUGGUUAAUUAUUGUUGAAUUGUGGGGCAAUUUUGGGGCAAUGUAUAUGAUUAUGAAAUUGUGGGGCACAGUUACACAGUUGAACUUGUGAGUACAUAGUUACACAUUUUCGUACACAGUUGAAGUGAUUAUGCUUAAUUGUUGUUAUUUUUCAUUGCAGCGCCGAUUUCGAUGG